UGGCGCAGCUGCCGUGGUGGCAGCAGCUUAAGUGGCGGCGGCGGCGGCGGCGGCGGUGGCGGCUGCAACAGCUCCGGACUCGGGGCUUUGGCGGCGGCGCCGGCAGGCUGGGCUGCACGGUGCCGAGCCCGGCGCGCGGUCCGGGUUGCUGGGGCGGCGCGUAAGAUGCCUCAAAUGGAGGAGUUUCUAAGAAGCACCUCUGGGCCUGUGGCUUUGAAAGGGAGCUCAAAGCAGAGACUAUUUACAGCCCUAGACAUCACAUCCUGAGGGCUGCAGGAGAGGAGAAUAUGGCCGUGGCCAUGAGUUUAGAUGACGACGUUCCCCUCAUUCUGACCUUGGACGAAAGUGGGGGUGCCCCACUGCCUCCCUCCAAUGGCCUGGACCAAGAGGAGCUGCCUAGCAGAAAGCUGAUUGUCCUGGAAGCUGCCCUCGUUGUCCCCAGCCA